UAGCAGCAGGUCUGUAGGCGGAGAGCUCGCGAUAAUUUCAAGUGGGAGGAGGCGAGAAAGAGCUGGAUCACGAGGUCCUGUGAGUGCAGAUCCACUUCUUGCUGCAUCUGUUAAUCUACUUUGACCUGCACCCAGGCUCCUGUACUCCCCAGUAGACGCAGCCAUCUCAGUGCAUUGUGCCUGAGUCUGAGCUUUC